GUCGUCGUGGUGUAAUGGUCAUCACGCUCGACGCGUACUUCGAGAGAUCCGUGGUUCGAAUCUCGGUGAGGGCA
rnacentral:tRNA from 1 species